CAGAUACUCCCUCCGUCCAGAUACUUGUCAUCAAAAUGAAUAAAAGGGGAUGUAUUUAGAUGUAUUUUAGUUCUAGAUACACCCCUUUUUGUCCAUUUUGAUGACAAGUAUUUUCGGACGGAGGGAGUAAUAC
rfam:Triticum urartu cultivar G1812 contig566808, whole genome shotgun sequence.